rnacentral:rRNA from 1 species
UGCCUCAUACAUGCAAGUCGAACGAGGUUUUCGGACCUAGUGGCGCACGGGUGAGUAACAUGUGGGAAUCUGCCUGAAGGUUCGGAAUAACUGCGGGAAACUGUAGCUAAUACCGGAUGUGUCUGCAAAGAGAAAGAUUUAUCGCCUUCAGAUGAGCCCGCAUUAGAUUAGCUAGUUGGUGAGGUAAUUGCUCCACCAAGGCUACGAUCUAUAGCUGAUUUGAGAGGAUGAUCAGCCACACUGGGACUGAGACACGGCCCAGACUCCUACGGGAGGCAGCAGUAGGGAAUAUUGGACAAUGGGGGAAACCCUGAUCCAGCAAUGCCGCGUGAGUGAAGAAGGCCUUCGGGUUGUAAAACUCUUUCAUCAAUGAUGAUAAUGACAUUAGUUGAAGAAGAAGCUCCGGCUAACUUCGUGCCAGCAGCCGCGGUAAUACGAAGGGGGCUAGCGUUGUUCGGAAUUACUGGGCGUAAAGCGUAUGUAGGCGGAUCAAAAAGUUAGAUGUGAAAUCCCUGGGCUCAACCCAGGAACUGCAUUUAAAACUAGUGAUCUAGAAUUUGGUAGGGGUUAGUAGAAUUUCCAGUGUAGAGGUGAAAUUCGUAGAUAUUGGAAAGAAUACCAGUGGCGAAGGCGACUAACUGGGCCAUUUUUGACGCUGAGAUACGAAAGCGUGGGUAGCAAACAGGAUUAGAUACCCUGGUAGUCCACGCAGUAAACGAUGAGUGCUAGUCGCUGGGACAAUAGUUUCAGUGUCGAAGCUAACGCAUUAAGCACUCCGCCUGGGAAGUAC